rnacentral:rRNA from 1 species
GGCGAACGGGUGAGUAACACGUGAGUAACCUGCCCUUGACUUUGGGAUAACUUCAGGAAACUGGGGCUAAUACCGGAUAGGAGCUCCUGCUGCAUGGUGGGGGUUGGAAAGUUUCGGCGGUUGGGGAUGGACUCGCGGCUUAUCAGCUUGUUGGUGGGGUAGUGGCUUACCAAGGCUUUGACGGGUAGCCGGCCUGAGAGGGUGACCGGCCACAUUGGGGCUGAGAUACGGCCCAG